rnacentral:rRNA from 1 species
ACUAUCGUUAACUGAAUACAUAGGUUAACGAGGCGAACCGGGGGAACUGAAACAUCUAAGUACCCCGAGGAAAAGAAAUCAACCGAGAUUCCCCCAGUAGCGGCGAGCGAACGGGGAGCAGCCCAGAGUCUGAAUCAGCUUGUGUGUUAGUGGAACGGUCUGGAAAGUCCGACGGUACAGGGUGAUAGUCCCGUACACCAAAAUGCACAGGCUGUGAACUCGAAGAGUAGGGCGGGACACGUGGUAUCCUGUCUGAAUAUGGGGGGACCAUCCUCCAAGGCUAAAUACUCCUGACUGACCGAUAGUGAACCAGUACCGUGAGGGAAAGGCGAAAAGAACCCCGGCGAGGGGAGUGAAAAAGAACCUGAAACCGUGUACGUACAAGCAGUGGGAGCACCUUCGGGUGUGACUGCGUACCUUUUGUAUAAUGGGUCAGCGACUUAUAUUCUGUAGCAAGGUUAACCGUAUAGGGGAGCCGCAGGGAAACCGAGUCUUAACUGGGCGUUAAGUUGCAGGGUAUAGACCCGAAACCCGGUGAUCUAGCCAUGGGCAGGUUGAAGGUUGGGUAACACUAACUGGAGGACCGAACCGACUAAUGUUGAAAAAUUAGCGGAUGACUUGUGGCUGGGGGUGAAAGGCCAAUCAAACCGGGAGAUAGCUGGUUCUCCCCGAAAGCUAUUUAGGUAGCGCCUCGUGAACUCAUCUUCGGGGGUAGAGCACUGUUUCGGCUAGGGGGUCAUCCCGACUUACCAACCCGAUGCAAACUACGAAUACCGAAGAAUGUUAUCACGGGAGACACACGGCGGGUGCUAACGUCCGUCGUGAAGAGGGAAACAACCCAGACCGCCAGCUAAGGUCCCAAAGUCAUGGUUAAGUGGGAAACGAUGUGGGAAGGCACAGACAGCCAGGAUGUUGGCUUAGAAGCAGCCAUCAUUUAAAGAAAGCGUAAUAGCUCACUGGUCGAGUCGGCCUGCGCGGAAGAUGUAACGGGGCUAAACCAUGCACCGAAGCUGCGGCAGCGACACUAUGUGUUGUUGGGUAGGGGAGCGUUCUGUAAGCCUGCGAAGGUGACCUGUGAGGGUUGCUGGAGGUAUCAGAAGUGCGAAUGCUGACAUAAGUAACGAUAAAGCGGGUGAAAAGCCCGCUCGCCGGAAGACCAAGGGUUCCUGUCCAACGUUAAUCGGGGCAGGGUGAGUCGACCCCUAAGGCGAGGCCGAAAGGCGUAGUCGAUGGGAAACAGGUUAAUAUUCCUGUACUUGGUGUUACUGCGAAGGGGGGACGGAGAAGGCUAUGUUAGCCGGGCGACGGUUGUCCCGGUUUAAGCAUGUAGGCUGGUUAUCCAGGCAAAUCCGGAUAAUCAAGGCUGAGGUGUGAUGACGAGGCACUACGGUGCUGAAGUAACAAAUGCCCUGCUUCCAGGAAAAGCCUCUAAGCAUCAGGUAACAUCAAAUCGUACCCCAAACCGACACAGGUGGUCAGGUAGAGAAUACCAAGGCGCUUGAGAGAACUCGGGUGAAGGAACUAGGCAAAAUGGUGCCGUAACUUCGGGAGAAGGCACGCUGGUGUGUAGGUGAAGUCCCUGCGGAUGGAGCUGAGACCAGUCGAAGAUACCAGCUGGCUGCAACUGUUUAUUAAAAACACAGCACUGUGCAAACACGAAAGUGGACGUAUACGGUGUGACGCCUGCCCGGUGCCGGAAGGUUAAUUGAUGGGGUUAUCCGUAAGGAGAAGCUCUUGAUCGAAGCCCCGGUAAACGGCGGCCGUAACUAUAACGGUCCUAAGGUAGCGAAAUUCCUUGUCGGGUAAGUUCCGACCUGCACGAAUGGCGUAAUGAUGGCCAGGCUGUCUCCACCCGAGACUCAGUGAAAUUGAACUCGCUGUGAAGAUGCAGUGUACCCGCGGCAAGACGGAAAGACCCCGUGAACCUUUACUAUAGCUUGACACUGAACAUUGAGCCUUGAUGUGUAGGAUAGGUGGGAGGCUUUGAAGCGUGGACGCCAGUCUGCGUGGAGCCAACCUUGAAAUACCACCCUUUAAUGUUUGAUGUUCUAACGUUGGCCCCUGACCGGGGUUGCGGACAGUGUCUGGUGGGUAGUUUGACUGGGGCGGUCUCCUCCCAAAGCGUAACGGAGGAGCACGAAGGUUAGCUAAUCCUGGUCGGACAUCAGGAGGUUAGUGCAAUGGCAUAAGCUAGCUUGACUGCGAGCGUGACGGCGCGAGCAGGUGCGAAAGCAGGUCAUAGUGAUCCGGUGGUUCUGAAUGGAAGGGCCAUCGCUCAACGGAUAAAAGGUACUCCGGGGAUAACAGGCUGAUACCGCCCAAGAGUUCAUAUCGACGGCGGUGUUUGGCACCUCGAUGUCGGCUCAUCACAUCCUGGGGCUGAAGUAGGUCCCAAGGGUAUGGCUGUUCGCCAUUUAAAGUGGUACGCGAGCUGGGUUUAGAACGUCGUGAGACAGUUCGGUCCCUAUCUGCCGUGGGCGCUGGAGAAUUGAGGGGGGCUGCUCCUAGUACGAGAGGACCGGAGUGGACGCAUCACUGGUGUUCGGGUUGUCAUGCCAAUGGCACUGCCCGGUAGCUAAAUGCGGAAGAGAUAAGUGCUGAAAGCAUCUAAGCACGAAACUUGCCCCGAGAUGAGUUCUCCCUGAGACUUUAAGUCUCCUGAAGGAACGUUAAAGACGAUGACGUUGAUAGGCCGGGUGUGUAAGCGCAGCGAUGCGUUGAGCUAACCGGUACUAAUGAACCGUGAGGCUUAACC